GCAGCCAUGCAUAGUUUGCCAGGAUGCAGUACUGGAAGAAGAUCAUGACCAGCUUGCAGCCCACCUGGAAGAGAAGAGGGGCAGCUAGCCUGAACUUGGAGAGAUGACCAGACAGCCUGCCCAGGCUUCCCUCUUUCCCUCCUGAGUGAUUAAGAAGAGACUUGAGCUCUGUGUCCCCGAGGACAUCGGGGACUGAGCGAGCGCAUCAUGUUCUCACCGGAAAGAGCACAGGAUGCUGAGGGCGACCAGGAGCAUGGCGAGGGAGGAGCCGUAGCCCACGGUGUACAUGACCUUAAGCUUCAACAGGUGCCCACUGAAGUCAGAAGGGGAGGCAUCGUAUCGCUUGGAGUUACAGGUGUUUGUGAGCCACCCAAUGUGGAUGCUGGGAUCAGAACGCUGGUCCUCUGCUAGUGAGGACUCUUAAACACUGAGCCAUCUCUCUAUCUCCUAGAAACUUUUCUAAGUGACACUGAAAAUAUCUAGAUUUUAUAGUUACCGCUGGGCCUUUUUUAACUUUCUGGAAUCAUUUAAAUUUUCUGUCUUAUGUGGAAAAGUUGUAAGAUCGUACACAGAAAUCUGUCAUUUUCAAAUAAAGCAGUUCUACCCAUUGUC